CAUCGCACUACGCUGCACGCAUGCCAACAUAAGCACGUGUGGUGCAUACGCAGAGAUCACAUUCGACCCGGACACACCCACCUGUACGCGCACACACGCACCCGCGCGUGUGUGCGUGUGUGUGCGUUUUUCCACUUAUCUCUUUCUCUCUCUUGCAGGCCACGCGUGCGCGCGACUGACGCAUCGUCGUCGGGUUUUGGGGGUGGGGCGCCUGCACUCUUUUCGUGUUCUCGUCUCUCCCUGAUUUCGACGCGGGCGGUGCUGAGGGAAAGAAGGGGAGCCGGCGCUGACCAUCCCUCUUUCGAACCGCACCGUUAGCCCGGCGUCCACCAUCACUCACUUGCUUCUCCCUCGGUGCUGGUGUGCGUGUGCGCGCAUUGACGGUCUUUCUCGGUUAUUCUCAUCACUCCCCCUUCUAAUAGAGGCACACGCACGCGCGCGCGCGCAAACGCCAACCGUCACACGAAGCGACAUCCAGAAGAAGGGCGUCGGGCACAAAACUAUGGCGACGGCAAGCAUGCACAAGGAGGCGCUGGCGCUGCUCCAGCAGUACGCGAUCGAUUUGAAGGACUUCACUAAGGCCCGUGAACGCUACACCACCGUCAUAGAGAAGGAGCUCGUCCCACUUGCCCAGGAGGAGGACAACGUCGAUGUGCUUGCGGCUACGAGGGCUGCACAGGAGCAGGUGCGCGCGGCCUGGGAAGAGUACAUCGCUUCUGUACAGCAGUACUUCAACCGCGUUGUCCGGUCCACCGUCCGCGACCUGCUGGAUCCUGGAAGCUCCGUCAUUCCAGUCUCGACCGUCACCUCCAACGAAACCCUGGCGACGACAAGCUCAAAGGAUCGCUCGGAGAUAAAUUCAGGCCCUCUCGCCACUGCCACCGCGGUGAGCAGUGCCGAAUCGGGGCGGCUGUUGCCGUGCGCGAAUUCAGCGAACGUUCCCACGGUGGGCAACAGCGGCGGCGUCGGCGGCGAUGCCGUGGCCCAGCUGAGCAGACGCGCUGAGCGCAUGAGCGAUUUUUGCGCCGUAUGUGAAAAGUGGUACGUGAACAGCGAGGUGCUGUUCGAACUACCGGAGCCGCAGGCUCUGGCUGCUCUUGCGGCGUCUGCUUUAGCAUCUGUGAGUCGCCUUCUUCGCCUGCUGGGCAUGCGAAUGGCGUACGUGUGCGCCGGCAACAGCUUUUUCUUGCGCAGCUUCAUUGAGGAUGGGGAGGCCGUGCGCUGGGCCGCCUUCUGCGGUGACCGUGGAUUGAACGCAGAGGUGGAUGCGCUGCUGUCACUCAUGGAACGCCUGAUGCAGCUCAACAUCACCGACCCAAAGGCCUACCCGCGGGUGCCGUUUGGCUGGCUCUAUCGGCUAAGCUCCCUCUUGGAGCACCCGGACUCGGUAGCCAGCGCUUCGCCAAAGCGGCGCAGCGUCGCCGUCCGCAUCGCUCUUCAGCUUCUCCGCCACCAACCGGACCAAGCAACGGCGGCGGGACUUCACAGUGUUCUACUGAACGCGUGCAUUGAGCCGAACGGCUGCGUCACCCCGGACGAGGCGCAGCAGGUGGUGCAGACAUUCCUGAACCUCUUCGACGCCCCCAGCACGCGCCAGUACCUCAAGCCGACGGAUCUGCGCACCAUCUUCGCGCCUUUUCUGUCCACCGCCGAGUCCGGCGGUACGGACCUCUUGACAAUGCAGAACAACGCCAAGGAACUCAUCGUGACUGUCUUUUCUAACUGCGUCGGAAGCUUGUGGAUCAGCUCCGAGGUGACGGAGCUGCGCUCCAUCAUUGAUGUCCUGCACCUGCCGGGGCCACUCGACACGAAGAUGGUCAUCAUCACCCUCUUCAACAAGCUGCUCACGCGCCUCGCUCCACAUCGCGGGAUCGUUCCCAUGGACACCUGGAAGGGCUUUGAGGAGGACCGCCUGCGCAAGGCCGCCCGCGAUGCUGAGGAGCAGGCCAUGGAGGCGAACGGCGGCGGCGGUGACGUGUGCAACGACACACAGUACCUGAACAACAACAGUUUCAUGUGCGACUUCACGCUGACCGACUCCACCGGCGAUGCGGCGCUCUUCGACGACUUCAUUCCUACAACCAAGGCUCUUGGCUACCACGUCAUGGACCCCUUGCUGGGCCGCGUUCUCGUCUGCCUUAACUACCACGGCCUUCCCUACGCCCUCACGCAGCUUAUGCAGAAUGUUAACAAGAACCGAGUCGUCACGGCAGCCGCUUCGAGCCUCUUGCAAGACAUCUUCGUGCUGAUGGACACGGUGCUGCCGCAGGUGAUCGUCUUCAAGCUGCACGAGGCCUUCAACAAAGCCGUUGGCCGCCUCGCCAACGACGGCAGCCUGUUUGUUGGUGGUCUCACUUCGCAGCUCUUCCGAAGCUAUAAGAAGAACAGCGGCAUCGGCGGCGGUGCUAGCAUGAUGCCGGCCAGCACGACGCAGAUGCCGAACACUGCCCUGAACACACCCGGCACGCUGGACGUCGACGACCCGACCUUCGCCACGAUGCUGCGUGAUUGCAAGGUGGAUCGAAUGAAGGGCUGCCAGACGUGGAACUUUGACAUCUUAGUGACCCUGGUGCAGGGCCCGCUGCACCUUCCGCGGCGAUUCCGCGCUGCGCGAGAGCUGAUGGAGAGUCUCGUGCUCUUCUUUACACCGUCGUCACACUCCAGCACGUCGCAGAUUUGUUCCACCUUCAGCACACAGCCGCCCGACACGGUAUCCCCGCAGGUGUGCAUGGUGGGAGUGGAGCUGAUCGACCUUAUACUGAGCUCUCGCGACGGUGCGGCGCUGCUCGAGCGCAUGGGCUUCGUUGCGGCCGUGGCGGCGAUGCUGAAGGAGGUGCGAGUCGGCAAGCCCGUAGUACUGCGGCGUGCUGUGGUCAACACAUGCAUCGGGCGGUCGCUGCUGCGCAUAACUGGUCGUCUGUCCGCGCACGCGAAUGGCCUGCUGCUCAUGCGAGACCACGGCAUCUUCUCGCUCGUGGACAGCAUGUUCUCAAAGCUCAGGGGCCCUCGGCUGGAGAGCCCGGCCGAAGAGGACACCCUGCAGGAUGUGUGCUACCAGCUCCUGCAGUAUUUGUACCUUGGCGCGGUGCCCAACUACGGUGUCUGCAAAGACAUCCGGCAAACCUUCCGCGCGGCGCUGGGUAACCCGAGCAGCACGAUCCGCCUCUGCGCGGCGCAGCAGCUGAAGAAAGCAGUCUGGCGCGACCUGUCCACUUCCAUGAAGUGGGGCAUCAAAACGCUCCUGCAGGCGCUGCACGACGACUUCUUCAGUGUAAUCGAAAGCGCCUUUAAGUUGCUGCUGAGCAUCUGCCUCUGCUCCGACGAGGGCCUCGACUACUUGAUCGAGUGCUUUCCAACGGUGCUGAUGGAGAGCGAGAUGAUCCUCAGCCAUGCGAAGCAGCUGCGGCUCAACGUGCUGCUAUACCGGAUCGCUAGUCGUCCGUCGGGCUUUCGCUUUCUUCAAUGCUACGGCUGGCUGGAGAAGGAGCUGCGUCGGUGGGAGGAGUCCGAGUCGGUGCAGUACACCAUUAUGCUAGAGCGCCUGCAGUCCUGCGACGACAGUGCUGCGGUUGCGGGGUUGCCGGGCGGCGCGGGCGGUGUGCUCAUGUCAUCCACCAGCGAUCCGUCGUGCCGGCACACCCACUCCUACUCGGACACCCUUGGCGGCAUGUACGGCCGCAUGACGGGCAAUACGGUGUAUCUGCCGCUUCUGACCGCCGCGGACGCCUCCAGCACAAAGUUCUUCCCCGUGCACUUCGCCUCCGUCUUGUGUAGCUCAGUUGAGGGCUGCGCGAUGUUCAAGCACAGUAAGCUGUGGACACGCUCUGUGCAACGCUUGCUGGAGCAGCCGCUGCCGCCGGAUAUCGUCUACGACGACUCCCUCAGCGACGAGGACGACUUGCUGUCGCAGAACAGCAGCGACGGCGAGUUUGGCUUGACGACCGACGCUGCGCGGUACAUGCGUCAGCAGCAGCAAGCCCAGCAGCGGCAGCAGCAGGUGCACCCAAGCACGAACACGGCCUACUACAGCGGCGGCAUAGGGGGCACGUCUGUUCCAGCCCUUGGCGCCCUAGCCAACUCUUCGAGUGUGCCGCGCUACAGCGCUGCGGGCGACGGCCCGGGCAACUCUCUGAGCGUUGCCCGGGUGCGCGAUGGUCUGCGCGGCGGGCCGGGCACCUCCCUCGGCAACAACAACGCUGGGGGUGGCGUUAAUGGCAACGCCAGCACGGCCACUGCGAACGGCAGUGGUGGCUUCUGUGGCUUCGGCGUUGCUGAUCAGUCGAGCAUCGCCACCGCGAAGGAGAUCGAGACGCUCAAGAAGGGCUACCUGUCUGCGCCGUCGUCGAAGAUUAUUUCAGCCUCGCGCUUCUGCAAAUCGUCCGGCCAGUCCUUCUCCCUGGACUGCGUGGGCGACAUCGUGGCCUUGAAGGACGCCAUUUUGUGCGUUGCAGAGGUCGGCUCGACAGAGGUGGGUUACGGCAUGCUGCUCUCGGUGCCUGGCCUGCAGCGGCGCUUCAUCGCUCUCUCUCGCUUCGCUUCCACGAUCUCUGUGCGCUGCAUGGGGCUUCUGGGGAGCGCAAUUCUGGCUCGCUCGCGGCGUGGCGGCGACGACCUCGUGAAGAAGGGGUACUCGGUGCUGCUGAACCCGAACGCGUACGUCAGCGCCGAGGGCAUCCCGUACUCGGUGUCCUUUGCCCAAAUGAAGCCGUCCAAGUGGGUCUCCAUUGCGUGCAUGGCGGCACCCAACAAUACGACGGCCCGCCACGCUCACGCGGACUCCAUUGCGCCCCCCAGCACUCAGGAAGUACCGCAGCGCAUCCUGGACAACUUGUACGCCUUGUCAAACCCGGUCAGCUGCGAAAACGCCAAGAAGAUGUUGUACAAGAUCAUGAAGAGGAGGCCGCAGCUCUUUCUCCAACCGCAGGUGCGCCGCCUCUGCCUGGAAAUUUCCUUCACUUACCGCAUGCACUACAAGGAGCGCCGCUUUCUCGCCGGCUUGCUGGAGAAUGCGCAGCUGACCGCUGGCACUUCCACAGACCCAAAGCCGCCGCGGAUGCAAGCCCUCAAGCCCUCUUCCUAGGUAGAAAGAGAAGGUAGGAGAGUCAGCCGGGCGAUAAAGAGGGGAUGGAGGCGGGGGCUCGUUUCUGCGCCUGUUCCCGCACGUGUGUCUCUAUGGGCGCGUCUUUUUUUGUGUGUGUCUGUGUGCCCUCCCGGUACCCUUUAGUCUCCAUGUAGAUUCGUGCCCCGCUUACCGCCGCCUUGUAUUGUGGGGGCAGGGCUGCUGUCGAGCAAGACGGCUUUCAUGACUUGUGCCUGCUCUCUCUCUCUCUUGUGCGUCUGUGUGAAUCGAAUACGCCCCCUCGUCUCUCUCUCUCUGUGCCGCCCCAUUCGCCUACCCCCCUCCCACGCCUCCUUUUUUUUUAGUUUGCUACUUGUUAGUGCUUUGCUGUGCUGUGUAGGUGUGGGAGCAUGCAUGCACACACAUGUGUGUGCGUGUGUGUCUGUGUGCAUGCAUGCGCCUGCUUCGGUGUACAUGGCGCCUUUGUUGCGCGCGCGCUCUUCCUCCAUGAUGGCUGUGUGCAUGCUGGCGUGUGCCGUGGACUCAUCAACGUUCUCGUGACCC
rnacentral:misc_RNA from 1 species